rnacentral:rRNA from 1 species
UACGUAGGGUGCAAGCGUUGUCCGGAAUUAUUGGGCGUAAAGGGCUCGUAGGCGGUUCGUCACGUCGGGAGUGAAAACUCGGGGCUUAACCCCGAGCCUGCUUCCGAUACGGGCAGACUAGAGGUAGGCAGGGGAGAGCGGAACUCCUGGUGUAGCGGUGGAAUGCGCAGAUAUCAGGAAGAACACCGGUGGCGAAGGCGGCUCUCUGGGCCUUACCUGACGCUGAGGAGCGAAAGCGUGGGGAGCAAACAGG